AGCCCCAUGGUGUAGUGGUCUAUCAUACGAGGCUUUGGACCUCGUGACCUGAGUUCGAAUCUCAGUGGGGCUA
rnacentral:tRNA from 1 species